rnacentral:tRNA from 1 species
GGGUCCGUAGCUCGAAGGUCGAGCAAGAGCCUUUUAAGCUCGUGGCGAGGGUUCGAUUCCCUCCGGACCUACCA